CUUCAUGUGAAGUGUUAAGAACAUUACUUGGUGACCCUAAAGAUGAAUACUUCUCCAGCUUUAGUGACUGUGAUGCUCCUGUUCAUGCUUGGGAGGACCCAGGGAGACUCAGUAACCCAGAAACAAGGUCAAGUGACUCUCUCAGAAGAUGAAUUCCUAUUUAUAAAUUGCACUUAUUCAGCCAUAGGAUACCCGACUCUUUUCUGGUAUGUUCAAUAUCCUGGAGAAAGUCCACAGCUCCUCUUCAGAGUCGCAAAGGCCAACGAGAAGGGAAGCAGCAGAGGUUUUGAAGCUACAUAUGAUAAAGAAUCCACCUCGUUCCACUUGCAGAAAGCCUCGGUCCAAGAGUCAGACUUGGCUGUGUACUACUGUGCUCUGGGAGACACAGUGGUGGAAACUGCAGGGGGAGCUGAGCACAAACUCAGCACAGGGGCCUGA